UACAGAGGAUGCAAGCGUUAUCCGGAAUGAUUGGGCGUAAAGCGUCUGUAGGUGGCUUUUAAGUCCGCCGUCAAAUCCAGGCUCAACUCUGGACAGGCGGUGGAAACUACCAAGCUGGAGUACGGUAGGGGCAGAUGGAAUUCCGGGUGUAGCGGUGGAAUGGCGUAGGAGAUCCGGAGGAAGACCGGUGGCGAAGGACGGCCUGCUGGGCAGUUUCUGACACUGAUGCGCGACAGCG
rnacentral:rRNA from 1 species